GGCUAUCUAGUGCAAUGGUAGCACAUUUGGCUUCAAUUGCUGAGCGUACCAAAAGGUUGUAAAUUCGAGUCCUGCGGUGGUAA
rfam:Gymnopus luxurians FD-317 M1 unplaced genomic scaffold GYMLTscaffold_50, whole genome shotgun sequence.